rnacentral:rRNA from 1 species
UACGAAGGGGGCUAGCGUUGCUCGGAAUCACUGGGCGUAAAGCGCACGUAGGCGGACUCUUAAGUCGGUGGUGAAAUCCUGGAGCUCAACUCCAGAACUGCCUUCGAUACUGGGAGUCUCGAGUCCGGGAGAGGCGAGUGGAACUGCGAGUGUAGAGGUGAAAUUCGUAGAUAUUCGGAGGAACACCAGUGGCGAAGGCGGCUCACUGGCUCGGUACUGACGCUGAGGUGCGAAAGCGUGGGGAGCAAACAGG